AAAUAUUAGUAAACAAACUACCGCUCCAUCUUCUCUAAAAAAACUAUCGCUCCAUCUAUCCAAAUUCUCUCUUCACUUCCUGUCUCUCUCUCUCUGCAUGAAAUUUGCUCCAUCUAUCCCUCACCGAGUCAAGUUUGGAUCUCCGAUCCCUCACCGCCGCCGCAAACCACCGCUUCCAGCGAAGAUGAUAGCAAUUUCAGUUACGGUUUGCUAUUCACUUUCGGUCAAUUCCGUGAUUUCUUCUGAAAAAUCUUCUACUGGUGCAGUUCUAAUAAUCUUAAGAGGGUUAUGCACCGAUCUGUUUAGGUCUUGAAGAUUUUUAUAUUCGUAUCCCUCUCUCUGCGAUGUGCAUGGCUGAAAAUUUUGAGAUAGAAUUGACAUCAUAACGAAGCUAAAAUGAAGGAGAUCGAGUGUGGUUGAUCAUAUUUCUUGAUUGCUGGUUUAGAGGAAGAUAAUACGGUGGCUGUCCCUCUUUGUGAAUGUCAAUGUGACUGUUCGAUUGAGAUGAGAAAGCAGAGGAAAGUGGUUGAUUUUUUUGCUGCAAUCUGGUCUGGAUUCUUUGGUGCUGUCUAUAGUUCAUGGAGAUUUAUUUCUCAUGAUUGCAGCUAUUCAUUAAUCGUGGUUUGAACCAUUUGGGUCCUUUGGCGAACAAUCCAGUGACUGAUUUUGAAAAGGCUGUCAAUAAGUUGCGACGAAAUACAGGUCUUACAUCGUGGAAUAUGACGCUGAAGAGGGCGUUGUGAUGCUUCCCAAUAUGUUUGCGAAAGAUUUUGGGGAUCAAAUCACGCGUUUUGCAACAUUAAUAGAUCCAAAAAACAACAAGUUUGAAGUGCUGGUGGAACGUGUCAAUGGGCAUGUGUUUUUUUUACCAAAGGAUGGAAAGCUCUGCGUGACUUUUAUGGAAUUCGGUUGGGGGCAUGGGUGACACUGGUAUUUGUUGGUAUGAGACAGUUUGCAAUAAUUCUGAAGGCUAGGUUUGGGAAAAAUGUCAAGUGUCCGGUUUUCAAUCUGCCUAUGCAGUUCGUGAUUGACUAAACUUCUGUGCAGCCAACCUUCAACAAUGUUGUCCCCUCUUCACUGUAAGUCUUGCAUAUCGGCACAGCAACACCAACAUGCAGGUUGAUAUGGUGCACAAACUAACUGAUUAUGAUGUCACCAGUGGGUUUUUGGUAUGCAGAGUUUAAUA